rnacentral:siRNA from 1 species
UGGAUUUUUUUUCAUAAGGUUC